rnacentral:rRNA from 1 species
CUCAAAUGAAUUGACGGGGCCCGCACAAGCGGUGGAGCAUGUGGUUUAAUUCGAUGGUACGCGAGGAACCUUACCAGGGCUUGACAUACGUUGGAAGCGCAUCGAAAGGUGCGUGCCGCUUGCGCCGGCGUACAGGUGCUGCAUGGCUGUCGUCAGCUCGUGCUGUGAAGUGUUGGGUUAGGUCCCGCAACGAGCGCAACCCCUGCUGCCUGUUGCCACCACGAGAGGUGGGGACUCAGGCGGGACCGCCGGUGACAAACCGGAGGAAGGUGGGGACGACGUCAAGUCAUCAUGGCCCUUAUGUCCUGGGCUACACACGUGCUACAAUGGCCGGUACAGAGCGCAGCGAGGCCGCGAGGCGGAGCGAAUCGCUUAAAGCCGGUCCCAGUACGGAUUGGAGUCUGCAACCCGACUCCAUGAAGUUGGAAUCGCUAGUAAUCGCGCAUCAGCAUGGCGCGGUGAAUACGUUCCCGGGCCUU